GUGAACGCUGGCGGUAGGCCUAACACAUGCAAGUCGAACGGCAGCACAGUAAGAGCUUGCUCUUACGGGUGGCGAGUGGCGGACGGGUGAGGAAUACAUCGGAAUCUACUUUUUCGUGGGGGAUAACGUAGGGAAACUUACGCUAAUACCGCAUACGACCUACGGGUGAAAGCAGGGGAUCUUCGACCUUGCGCGAUUGAAUGAGCCGAUGUCGGAUUAGCUAGUUGGCGGGGUAAGGGCCCACCAAGGCGACGAUCCGUAGCUGGUCUGAGAGGAUGAUCAGCCACACUGGAACUGAGACACGGUCCAGACUCCUACGGGAGGCAGCAGUGGGGAAUAUUGGACAAUGGGCGCAAGCCUGAUCCAGCCAUACCGCGUGGGUGAAGAAGGCCUUCGGGUUGUAAAGCCCUUUUGUUGGGAAAGAAAAGCAGCAGGUUAAUACCCCGCUGUUCUGACGGUACCCAAAGAAUAAGCACCGGCUAACUUCAUG
rnacentral:rRNA from 1 species